CCUACGGGAGGCAGCAGUGGGGAAUCUUGCACAAUGGAGGAAACUCUGAUGCAGCGAUGCCGCGUGAGUGAAGAAGGCCUUUGGGUUGUAAAGCUCUUUUGUCGGGAAAGAUAAUGACUGUACCCGAAGAAUAAGGUCCGGCUAACUUCGUGCCAGCAGCCGCGGUAAU
rnacentral:rRNA from 1 species